CCUACGGGGCGCAGCAGUGGGGAAUAUUGCACAAUGGGCGCAAGCCUGAUGCAGCCAUGCCGCGUGUAUGAAGAAGGCCUUCGGGUUGUAAAGUACUUUCAGCGAGGAGGAAGGCAUUAAGGUUAAUAACCUUGGUGGUUGACGUUACUCGCAGAAGAAGCACCGGCUAACUCCGUGCCAGCAGCCGCGGUAAUACGGAGGGUGCAAGCGUUAAUCGGAAUUACUGGGCGUAAAGCGCACGCAGGCGGUCUGUCAAGUCGGAUGUGAAAUCCCCGGGCUCAACCUGGGAACUGCAUUCGAAACAGGCAGGCUAGAGUCUUGUAGAGGGGGGUAGAAUUCCAGGUGUAGCGGUGAAAUGCGUAGAGAUCUGGAGGAAUACCGGUGGCGGAGGCGGCCCCCUGGACAAAGACUGACGCUCAGGUGCGAAAGCGUGGGGAGCAAACAGGAUUAGAUGCCCGUGUAGUC
rnacentral:rRNA from 1 species